AUUUUUCAUUUAAUAAGAUAAAAUACAAAAUAUGCAUGAAAAAAGUUUCACAUCCAGGUCUAUUCUAGUGUUUUGUUCACUUUGGACUGCGUGGCUGCUAGGUGGUGUUGUCAAAUCAGGGGGGGGGUAACUGAAAUCAGUGAUCUUGACAACUAUUUUUACAAAGCUUUUAUCAACUCACUCUGUCUGUCUGGUAAAAAGUUUGUACAUGUUAUUUCUCCCACACUAAAUGUCAUAUCAAGCAGAGUUUCGCACAAUUAUCUCUUUUUACAUGCCAAAACAAGAAUCAAUAAAAAAAAAAAAAAACAAGGUUACAAAGACAGUUUGUGUGGAAACACAAAUUCAAAAUCGGCCCCCGAAAUGGUCCACCCAGGCAGGUAAAAAGGCAGGUUUCAAUAUUUUCAGAAAGAACAUCAGAAUGAAAUUCUAUCAAAGACAAAUGACAGAGAAGAAUGGAGAAAAAAGGUUGACAGAUCUUGUGUGGUGCCCCAGCAGACCAAAGGAUAGAUGAAAGUGAAUGUGAAGUUAGAUGUGAACCUGGCCUAACUGAUGUCUUAUAAUGAAUACUUAAAUGAUCUAAUUGUUUUGUAAAAGGUCAAUCUCUUAUUGAAAUCCUCAAGAAAAAAACAUUUCCUUUUAAAAAAAAAGUUACGUGUGCUAUUUCCAUAGAGCAGCGAUGCCCAAACUACGGCCCGCGGGCCAGAUGAUGCGCUUCUAUCGGGCCCGCCAAAACAUUGUAAAAAAAUGUACAAAAAAAAAUAGAAUGUUGAAAAAAAUAUUCUCACUCUUUCUUUGAAGAAUUUCAUCUUUAUGUUUAUAUUCAUAGUAAAUAUUUUUUUUUAUUCUAAGAACAGAAGUGGGUUUUUUUUCAAUAACGAUAAGACUUGGCAGCUAUUUUUAAAUGUUUGGAAAAUUCCGCUGUCUUGAGCUAGCCGUGUCCUUGACACCUUGUGUGUGCAUCACAGAGCAUCAUUGAUGCAUCAUUUUGGGUUGCAUACAUUUGAUAUCAAAGUGAUUGGUAGAUUAGUACCGUAUUGUUUAACGUUUGUGAUUUAAUGAAAUAGGAGAGCUUAAGAAACGAAAAGUGGACUCUUUAGAAACUUUCAAGAAAAGUGGACAGAUCUUUACUUUUUUGUGGAAUAUGAUAGUAAGCCAGCAUGUUUGAUUUGUAAAGAAAGUGUGGCUGUUUUUAAAGAACAAAACAUUAAAAGGCAUUGUGAAACCAAACACAUAAACACAUUUGGUGACAUUCUUUGUUUGAGCCGCGAAGACUAGAUUUCUAAGUUAUGACUAGAGAUUGGGGGAUCGACAAGAAUAUAUAUCAAAAAGAGACAAGAAAAUGAGUCUGCGAUAACAGCCAGCUACAGAGUUGCUCACAUCUUAAGUUGAGCAAUGAAGCCUUUUUUCGAUGGCAAAUGUGUAAAAAAGUGCUUGUGAUAGAGAAAUGUGUCCUGAAAAGAAGAAUGCCCCCACUUUGCGAGUACUGUGACUCUCGCCUCACCGUGGAACAUAUCCUCGUUGAUUGCCCCAGAUACCAGGAUGUCAGGGCGAAACAUUUUAGAGCCACUAAUCUAAAAACACUAUUUAAUAAUGUCGACCCUGGGAAGGUACUGGGCUUUAUUCGGGAAGUGGGGCUAUCUACGAAGAUCUGAUUUCUGAAUUUGUGAACAUGCACUAUUUACAUUAGAUUUUUACCAAAUAUUUAAAUUUUUACUACCUUUACUAUUUUAACUGUGAAUAGACCUUAAUUUUAAUUAUAUGACUGUAUAGAAUCUGGCCCUUGUUGUUUAGAGAGAGAGUAGUCCUUAAGGGACUGCAGGCACGACAUGGCCUAAAUUGUGCCGAUGUGCCUCAAAUCCAAAUCCAAAUCCCAUCAUAGAGGACCUUGCUCUUCCUUGGAAUAAAUUAGUUGGAGUGACUACUGAUGGCGCAAGAAAUAAGGUUGGAUGUCACAGCGGACUGACAGCAAGAGUUAUUAAAAAGUUGUUGAGUCAGUUGAAAACCUUUGAUUUCACUGCAUCAUUUACCAACAAAAUCUCUGUGGAAAGAUUUUGAAUCUGGAUCAUGUGAUGAUGAUUGUGCUCAGCACUGCACAUUUCAUCAAAUCACAAGAGCGUUGAAUCAUAGAACUUUCAAUGAUUUUCUGACAGAAAUAGAUUCCGAACAUGAAGACAUUCUAUUUCCCAGCGGAGUGCAGGGGAUGAGGGUCUGGUUAAGCUUAAAAAAGGUGUUAGAACGUUUUUUUUUUAAUUUGAGAAACGAAAUUUAAAUAUUUAUGACUGAAAAAUCAAAACAAGUGCCACAACUGAACGACCCCUAAUGGUUGUGGGAUUUGGCUAUUUUAUGCGACAUCACAUCACAUCUAAAUGAAAUCAACACCAUACUACAAGGGAAAUAAAUAUGUCUCCCAAAAGAAAGAAUGAUCAAUUUCUAAGGCUCUCAAUGGAUAAUUUCAGUGAAAGAUUUGUGGAUUUUCAUAAUUUAAAAAUGAAAUCCGUCUUUUUGAAAAUCCGUUUGCUGCCGAUGUGUCAAGUGCCCCGACAGAUCUCCAACUGGAACUGAUUGACUUACAAAGCCAGACAUCCCUGCUUGACAAAUUUCAAGUGAUGCAGACUAUUGACUUUUACUCUGUGUUACUUGCAGAAACUUUUCCAAAUCUUCAAAAACAAGCGCUAAGGAUGAUCACAAUGUUUACAAGCACUGAUUUGUGUGAACAAACUUUUUCACUGAUAAAAAUGGGCGAUAACCAUGUUACGUAAUCGCCUCAUGUAUGAACAUAUAGAUUCAGUGCUCCGACUUUGUGUUUCAUUUAUGCAGCAUGAUAUUCAGAAGAUGGUUUUGGAUAAACUUCAUGUAUCACAUUAAUUUAUGUAAGUAGGUCCACAAAUUAAACUAUUAAAAAUAGCUUAUUGUAUUUUUUUUUUUUUUUUGGUGAUAUGGCCUGCGACACGAAUGCCGAAAAUUAAAAUGGCCCGCAGACCAAAUAAGGUUGGGCAUCAUUACUAUAGAGCAUCACUGCAGUUCACGCGAUAAUAUGAAAAACUACUUAUUAAUUGUUGUUUUAAAUUAUGUUCAACUUAUAUGCAUACUAAAUAGAUUUUUUCUCUUUAAAAAAAGAAAACUUUUUUUUUUCUGUAAAUGUAGUAGUUAGUAUGACAGAACUUAGAUAACUUAGCAAUACAAAUGUAAUAAAAAAAAAUUUUUUCAAAAAAAAUCUAAAACCAUUUGCAUAAAUAUGUUAAAAAUAUGGUAAAUGGUCAUCCCCCCUUCUAAAGAGCCUCCCGUGUUUGUUACUAUUAAUAGUGAAUAGUUGUAAAAGUGGUGUAUUUUUAUGGAAAAACUGCUUGCAUAAGUGAUUUAAAAAAUUAGACUUUUCGCUUUCAGAAAAGAAAAAAGUAGCCGUUGUAUCAGAACUUUGAAUGGUCUAAAAUAUUAUGGUGUCAGAUUUUCACUAUCUUUUCUAGUUUACGAGAUCUAAACGGGACGGACGGAUAGACAUUCCACACUAAACUAAUAGCCUCUUUUCCCCUUUUGGGGGCCGCUAAAAAAUUAACAAAUUAGUUAAUUAAGGUGGAUUAGGAAGGGGCAUUCAAAGAGGAUAUAGUUUACAGUUUCAUAAGGGUGGGCGUAGUGUCUACAAAGGGGGAGUUGGGUGGGAUUUAUUUUGUUAAAGACCAACUGAAGAGGUUUUUAUCGAAAUUGAGAUAACUGUUGAUUAUGAUAGUAGAUGGUAUCAAAUAUAGUUCCUAAAAAUUUGAGUUAAAAGAAAUACAUAUUUAUACUAGAAAAAGUCAUUUGAAAGUGUAAAAAAAUUAACGAGAUUUGAAAUGGCUCUGUCAUGGCCGAAAGCGGAAGUGACGUUAUAGUAUGGAAAUCACGGAAAAAUGUCGAGCUCAAGACACUAGAUCUAGCCAGACCGCCUAGAGGAGUCUAGAUCUUGUUUUUUGUUAUUAAGACCAGCUUAACGUAGACAAUUUAGUCUUAUUACUAGAUUAAACCUGACAUUGGCUAAAAGAUGAUCUGACGCGUCCAACAGUGGAUGGCUGCCUGAUUGUGUGUUAUGCCAGCUGGACUGUUAUUUUAUAAGACUGUUGAGCAUCUUUUAUUUAUAAAUCUAAAAGCUGAUGCUAUGACACUCAAUGGCUUAGAAGAAAUCCUGUCAGUUUUAUAUGGUCAUGACAAUAAUCUUUAAUAAAUAAGUCUUAUACAAGGACAAUAAAGAUUAUUAUUAUUAUUA